AGUUCCAGGUGACUGGGGAAGAGGAAUCCUAUUCACCAUUAGGCCUCUUCAUCUGCAUUCCUAUACACAGAAACCUCAAGAAUAUACUAGGGAAAUCCGUUACGAAAGUUCGGGAUCUCAUCCAGCCAAGCCUUCACAGUUUGUGUGCAAGGACCGUAAGAAGGCUCUAUGGCACUGUGCGAAAGGGCGCCUCCUGCGGAUGCAAGCGUCGCUUUCUGUUCGGCCUCUUUCGCGUCUUAUGGCGCGACUUGCUGUGGAUUGUCAGCUCCGGCAUCGCGUACUAUCUCGUCGUCAUCGGAAGGGCCAUGGUGCUGGAGUGAGUACAGAGUUCGUUAUCCGCAGACUUCGUAUUUGAGGCUCGGAUAGGUCCCUGAACUCCUCCGAUAUCGUUCACUCAUUUCAGGUCUCUCAUUGCGGGAACGUCGAACAUGGCGUGCAUGGUGCUACUGUUUGCGAUAUCGUGCCUCGCUGACGGAGCUCUCACCUGCUACAUGAACCACAAUGCCCUCCGGUUCACAGAGAGAGUACAGGUGCUGACUCAGGGCGCUAUU